rnacentral:rRNA from 1 species
UACGAAGGGGGCUAGCGUUGCUCGGAUUGACUGGGCGGAAAGGGCGCGUAGGCGGCUUGUACAGUCAGACGUGAAAUUCCUGGGCUCAACCUGGGGGCUGCGUUUGAUACGUAUGGGCUUGAGUUCGGAAGAGGGUCGUGGAAUUCCCAGUGUAGAGGUGAAAUUCGUAGAUAUUGGGAAGAACACCGGUGGCGAAGGCGGCGACCUGGUCCGAUACUGACGCUGAGGCGCGAAAGCGUGGGGAGCAAACAGG